rnacentral:lncRNA from 1 species
AGACCAAGAAGUGUUCUCUUAAAUUAAGGGAGAGGUAUUGUCAGUGGCAAAUUUGAGGAAUCUGAUGCAUUGGUGGAAUAUUGCAUGUGCAUAUGGUCAUGAAAUUAUACUUCAAUGCUGCAAUCCUCAAGGUCUGAAAAUUGGAGGUUUUGUACCAACCUCUGCUAAUCAGCAGGGAUCGAUCAAAAGAUGUGCUUAAAUUAAGUAACACUACUAGUUUUGUAAAGAAAAUGAAACACUCUUGAUGACAUAUACUAGAUUUGUUGAAAUAGUUGAACUGAGGCAAUGAUAGCAAUUCAGGCAUUUUUGGGGAACAUUUUUAAAAAUGUACUUGUUUUUAAAAAGUAAAUUUAUAUUUGACCCAUAAUUUUCUCAGAACCAAUCCAGUAUUCAUCACUACAUUAAACAUAUUUUCAGAGGUCAAGUAUUACUAACAGUGAUUUGAGCUCUAGGUGUGGAAAUAGAAACCACAAAAUGUUAAUAAUAAAUGAAAAUUUUAAUAAAUUUGAUAUAUUUACAUAAUUUACAUAAUACGUACAGUGUACUGUAAUUUAGUAUUUAUGACAACAAGUAUUUAUAAUCACUGAAAAUUGUAUUGACAGAAUUUAAUUACAUUAAUAAGGGGGCAUUCAUUAUUGUGGGGGGGAUGGGUGAGAAACUGGGGGGGGACCUGAGAUUUUCCCAGAUGAAAAG